rnacentral:rRNA from 1 species
UGAGGAAUAUUGGUCAAUGGACGCAAGUCUGAACCAGCCAUGCCGCGUGAAGGAUGAAGGCCUUCUGGGUUGUAAACUUCUUUUAUGAGGGAAGAAAACUGGGGUUUCUACUCCAGCCGACGGUACCUUAGGAAUAAGCACCGGCUAACUCCGUGCCAGCAGCCGCGGUAAUACGGAGGGUGCAAGCGUUAUCCGGAUUUACUGGGUUUAAAGGGUGUGUAGGCGGGCUUUUAAGUCAGUGGUGAAAUCUCCGGGCUCAACCUGGAAACUGCCAUUGAUACUAUUAGUCUUGAAUUUUGUUGAGGUAGGCGGAAUAAGUCAUGUAGCGGUGAAAUGCAUAGAUAUGACUUAGAACACCAAUUGCGAAGGCAGCUUGCUAAACAAACAUUGACGCUGAGGCACGAAAGCGUGGGGAUCAAACAGGAUUAGAUACCCCGGUAGUCC